rnacentral:lncRNA from 1 species
AUUUUAGAGUGAAAUUAUUUAAAUUUGAAUUACAAAGAAAUUGUACUUUUUUAUUUAAAGAAAUUGUAAUUAAGUGAGCCAGUGAGCCAACCCACCAACCUUUGAUGGGCUGGACCGGGUUUGAAUUUUUUCAGCUUGCUAAUAAAUGAGCUAGGUUGGUUGGCUCACUAAGUGGUCAACCCGUGGUGGGCUAGGCCAGGUUGUGUCGGGUGGUCCAUUUUGAUAACACUACCUCUAACCAUACCAUCAACACUCGGUACAUCAUUGCCCCUGCCCCAAACUCGCACCCCACUACUCAAGUCCCUACUAAAUCACCUGCCGCAUAGGUAUCCUGGCCUAUGAGCUCAAUCUUCUCACUACCUCACACAUCCACCCAGUGUUUCACAUUUCACUAUUAAGACCUAUUAAAGGAAGUCAUCCCUUCAAAACCCCAUUCCAAAAACUCAACUUCUAAAACCCUCCACUUAACUCAUGACUAUCAAACCUAUUAUAUUUUCAAUUCACUUCCCCACCUACCACUUUAACUCCACUGUCUACACUCUCCAAUGAAAACAUGCCAUCUCAACCCAAUCCAAUUGUCCCAUACUUUAAUUUUUCACUUAACCCCCUUUUGCCACUCAUGUCCACAACCAUCCAGAACAUUCACUAACCACACGCACAAAACCCUAGUCUAAUAACCACUCACUCAAAGCAAACUACACCGACCUAAUUUCCCCUCAUUUUCCACUUUGAGGGCAAAGUGAUACAAUUUAUCAAGGAAAGAAUUCUUAAGAGGCACGAUAAGAAUAAAUCAAAGAAAAAUGCAGAAUAAGAAAAGAAUGAGGACACCACAAUCUAGCAGAUUGAAUAGUCAAGUGAAGAUUCACCACAAAGAUUUUAAUCUUUGAUAAGAAUUAGAGUUUUAAUCCAAGAGUUC